CCUACGGGGGGCUGCAGUGGGGAAUUUUGCGCAAUGGGCGAAAGCCUGACGCAGCAACGCCGCGUGUGUGAUGAAGGUCUUUGGAUUGUAAAGCACUUUCGACCGGGACGAAACCGUAAAGCCUAAUACGCUUUGCCUUGACGGUACCGGGAGAAGAAGCACCGGCUAACUCUGUGCCAGCAGCCGCGGUAAUACAGAGGGUGCAAGCGUUGUUCGGAAUUAUUGGGCGUAAAGCGCGUGUAGGCGGCUUUGCAAGUCGGGUGUGAAAGCCCUCA
rnacentral:rRNA from 1 species